UAAAGUCAGACCGCCCAAUGAUAUUUUAAAUGGCCGCAGUAGUUUAAUUGUGCAAAGGUAGCAGAAUAAUUUGUUUUAUUAAUUGGAAACUUGCAUGAAUGGUCAUAAGAAAGAUUGACUUUCAUUAUUAAUCUUGUAUUAAAUAGUUUUAUUUUUCUGUGAAAAAGCAGAGAUUUUUUUAUUAAACGAUAAGACCCUUUAAAACUUUAUAUAUAUAUAAAAGCAUGAGUUUUUAUUUUUUUUAUUUUGUGCUAUUAAUUUAGUGAAUUUUGUUGGGGCGACAGGUAAAUUUAUUGAACUUUACUUUUUUUAUAUCACAAAUUAGUGUU
rnacentral:rRNA from 1 species